GUCGCGCCGGGUGCGAUUAUCGCGGGGCUUGCCUUCGAAUUCGAUCGUCCCGAUCCGUACGUGCGUGCUCUCGUUGUCACUCUCUUCGAUAUAUUGCAUACGUUCGCGACAGCUCGCGCGAGUUCUCAUUUAGCGCUAACAAUAAGCACACACCCCGUUUGUCUUCGGCGGCAAUUAUUAAUCUAUGUAGCGUCAGAUUUCGCACAUACAUGAUCUUUUGAAAGCGAGAGUAUUGUCUUAUAUAUCGAGGCGAAGAGUGAGGUAUCUUUCUUUCGUCUCCAAUCGCAAAAUGAGAUUAGCUGCUGUAGCUGCGAGGUAUAACGUUGAUAAGAACAGAUCAUAGAACGAAGAUCGCAGAAGGUGCAAUCGUAUCGAUGGUGCAAUUUGUUUCCGAUCGCGUCACCCGAUAUAUGCAAGACGGUUCUAUUCUCCCGAGGAUCUCGACUUCUUGCGACCUUCAGCGCCGUAUCACGAAGAGCCGCCGAAGAGCAUUGUCCCGUGAUCGCGGGUACCGGCUUUUACUUCGCCCUUUGCAUGCAUAUUUCGGAAAAAUCGGAACCCAGACUUGGUUCGGAAGGGGGCGGUCGUUAAGCGACUCUCGAGAAAAAAAUAGACGCGAAAGGGAGUGCCCAGACAAACCUUGACCUUGAGUAUACUUGCUAUUCUCGCUCUUAUGGUUCGCGAUAGAUUACGAAUCUUCGCAUUCGUCGUCUUCUCGUCUUCUCGUCUUCCGCGACUUUACUUAUAAAGGGAACUUUUCCCAGAACGAUAAAUCGUAAUUACGAUAAUAGUAAUUAGGUUUCUAUCUGAUUCGGAAUUUUUUAUUCCCUCGAUUCAUCAAGUAUGCACAAGGUCCUUAUCGUUUCUACUCUUUAGUCAAUUUAUAAUUAUAUCCUUUCUCGAUAUUAAUUACUUCCCGUAAUUAAACCUCCCCAAAUAACGUACGUGCUUUACUAUGCAAUGUAUAGACGUAUAUGCAGAAUACAUGCGUUUUUUUCUCUCUCAUUUGUCAGAACUUCUCCCACGAAGAUGCCCCUAAACUUUUCAAAUUACGCUAACGUAUACGUUAAUUUUCGAUGUAAAUCUAAUCAUUUACACGUAUGAUACUACGAAGUUACAAAUUAAUUUUCGUUUAUUGUGUGAUUAAAAAAAAAUUAAAUUA